AUUCUGUGAUGACUUUACCAAAUGACUUUCGUUCUUCUGAGUUUGCUGAAGCCACACUCAGGUGCUGAGAGGG
rnacentral:snoRNA from 7 species